rnacentral:rRNA from 1 species
GACGAACGCUGGCGGCGUGCUUAACACAUGCAAGUCGAACGAUGAACCCGGAGCUUGCUCCGGUGGAUUAGUGGCGAACGGGUGAGUAACACGUGAGUAACCUGCCCUUGACUCUGGGAUAACUGCGGGAAACUGUAGCUAAUACCGGAUACGACCCUCGGCGGCAUCGCCAGGGGGUGGAAAGAAUUUCGGUCAAGGAUGGACUCGCGGCCUAUCAGCUAGUUGGUGAGGUAACGGCUCACCAAGGCGACGACGGGUAGCCGGCCUGAGAGGGUGACCGGCCACACUGGGACUGAGACACGGCCCAGACUCCUACGGGAGGCAGCAGUGGGGAAUAUUGCACAAUGGGCGCAAGCCUGAUGCAGCGACGCCGCGUGAGGGAUGAAGGUCUUCGGAUUGUAAACCUCUUUUAGUAGGGAAGAAGCGAAAGUGACGGUACCUGCAGAAAAAGCACCGGCUAACUACGUGCCAGCCGCCGCCGUAA